CCUACGGGUGGCAGCAGUGAGGAAUAUUGGUCAAUGGGCGCGAGCCUGAACCAGCCAAGUAGCGUGAAGGAUGACUGCCCUACGGGUUGUAAACUUCUUUUAUAACGGAAUAAAGUGAGGCACGUGUGCCUUUUUGUAUGUACUUUAUGAAUAAGGAUCGGCUAACUCCGUGCCAGCAGCCGCGGUACUACGGAGGAUCCGAGCGUUAUCCGGAUUUAUUGGGUUUAAAGGGAGCGUAGAUGGGUUGUUAAGUCAGUUGUGAAAGUUUGCGGCUCAACCGUAAAAUUGCAAUUGAUACUGGCAGCCUUGAGUACAGUAGGGGUAGGCGGAAUUCGUGGUGUAGCGGUGAAAUGCUUAGAUAUCACGAAGAACACCGAUUGCGAAGGCAGCCUACUAAACUGCCACUGACAUUGAUGCUCGAAAGUGUGGGGAGCAAACAGGAUUAGAUACCCGAGUAGUC
rnacentral:rRNA from 1 species